rnacentral:rRNA from 1 species
GAAGGGGCUAGCGUUGUUCGGAAUUACUGGGCGUAAAGGGCGCGUAGGCGGUGUGUCAAGUCAGGCGUGAAAGCCCCGGGCUCAACCUGGGAACCGCGCUUGAGACUGGCAGGCUAGAGUUCGGGAGGGGAUGGUGGAAUUCCCAGUGUAGAGGUGAAAUUCGUAGAUAUUGGGAAGAACACCGAUGGCGAAGGCGGCCAUCUGGACCGACACUGACGCUGAGGCGCGAAAGCGUGGGGAGCAAACAGGAUUAGAUACCCUGGUAGUCCACGCCGUAAACGAUGAGUGCUAGACGUCGGGGCUCUUAGAGCUUCGGUGUCGCAGCUAACGCAUUAAGCACUCCGCCUGGGGAGUACGGCCGCAAGGUUA